rnacentral:lncRNA from 1 species
CCUGUAUAAGAAAUACUUGAAUAAAAUAAAGAAAAGGAGUUAAAACAUUACAACAUUACUGCUAUCAUACAUUUCCGGUGCAUAUUAACCAACCCAAAGUUACUCAAUUCAAACCAAAUUAAAAACCUAUGAAAAUUAAAAAAUUAAAAACCAGGAAUAAAUGAACCCUAUACGUGAAUAUAAGUACAAAACUAUAUACCAGUAUACGACGUUGAUCUUGUGGAAUGCUUAAAAAAAAUCUGAAUAAAGAAGAAAAAAAAGAGAAAUAAGGUUAACAAAAAUUCAAGAAAAUGAUAUAAAAAAAUCUAUACAUAAAUCAAAGAAUCCUAAAAUUGCUUUGAUUAGGAGAAAUGCUAUAAAAAAAUCUGAAUAAAGCAAAAAAAAAGAGAAAUGAAGUUAACAAAAAUUAAACAAUCUUUUCAAGAAAAUGAUAAAUAAAAAAAUCUAUGCCAAUCAUUCUAAAAAAUAUAUACGCAAACAUCAAAAAGAUCAUAAUAAAAUAACAGCCAGAAAGUCAGUUUUCAAAAACCUGAGGGAAAAGAUAGAAAGUGUGGCUAUGGACGAUGAAUCUGCGCGUUGUGCGGUGAUUCUUAGAUUACGCAAUUUUGGACGUUGUUGCCGAUUUCGUGAGAAUAUCGAGUAUGAUACCGGUUUCGAACGGAAUCCAAGAUAACGACGCCGAUAGAUGAAAAAACUGAGAGUAAGUUAGGGUUUUGAACCAGAACAAGACAAAGAUGCCGAUCGAUGAAAAAGCGCGAUGAUGCGGUGAUUCUUAGAUUACGCAAUCUUGGAUCAGAUUCACGCGUCGAUUUUGGACGAUCCGAUGAGAAAAUUGAAUAAGAUAGGGCUCCAAAUCCAAGAUAGCGCUGUCGAUCGAUGAAUAAGCUGAGAUGAAAAGCGUGGCGAUACGAUGGUUCUACGAUCAAGCAGUGGCGGCGCAGUCUGGUCACGGCUUAUACUCAAAUCAACGUAAUGGUUACGGCGAUUUGGUGAGAGCGAAACAGAAAAUCAGGGGUUUUGAUAAAG